rnacentral:rRNA from 1 species
AUUGAACGCUGGCGGCAUGCUUUACACAUGCAAGUCGAACGGCAGCACGGGCUUCGGCCUGGUGGCGAGUGGCGAACGGGUGAGUAAUGCAUCGGAACGUGCCCAUGUUGUGGGGGAUAACUACGCGAAAGCGUGGCUAAUACCGCAUACGCCCUGAGGGGGAAAGCGGGGGAUUCUUCGGAACCUCGCGCAAUUGGAGCGGCCGAUGUCAGAUUAGCUUGUUGGUGAGGUAAAGGCUCACCAAGGCGACGAUCUGUAGCGGGUCUGAGAGGAUGAUCCGCCACACUGGAACUGAGACACGGUCCAGACUCCUACGGGAGGCAGCAGUGGGGAAUUUUGGACAAUGGGGGCAACCCUGAUCCAGCCAUGCCGCGUGAGUGAAGAAGGCCUUCGGGUUGUAAAGUACUCUUCGGUCCGGGAACGGAAAUACGUAUGGGUUAAUACCCUACGUGCGGAUGACGGUACCGGCGACUAAGAAGACACCGGCUAACUACGUAGCC